UUUCUGCUAAAUUGCCAGAGGAUUCAAGAUGGUUCUUGUGCUUUUUGUAGAUGUCGGCCAAACUCUAUUGACCACUUAUUCUUUGGUUGCAGCACCACUAGUGCCCUUGCUCUUUUUUGGGCUACAAGAUGCAAUUUGGCUUGGCAAAAUUGAUGUUGGCUUGAAAAUUUAAAGUGGGCUCUGCAACAUAUUCGUGGAUAGCAAUUUCACCAGAUUAUUGCUUGGUUCUCCUUUGGCGCCCUAUGCCACAUGAUAUGGACUGAGAGGAAUUAUAUCCUCUUUCGUAAUUAGAACCUUUACAUGCCAGUGCUUAAAAAACAUCUCGAGAAGGUUGUCAUGGACAAAGCCCUUACUUUUAAACAUGUCCACGACACAACUAGAAACCGGAGAAUGCAAGGUAGCUAGGGUGUAACACCAACGAUCUUUGCUUAAGCCUUGGUAGUGCCUCCUCAUCUUUUUGUCAAGCUGUCUAUUUGGCCUCAUCACUCUUUUAGUGAUUCUCUUGUAUGGGGUUUACUCCCCUUGCUGCUUUUCUAUUUUACACCCACGACACCCCUGCACCCAUAGUGACAUUCCCUAAUGUCAAUAUAAGUGAAAGGUUUUGUGUAGUCGGGUUCCUUCUUGUAAGUCGCACUUUGAUUGGUUAAUAUACUUCUUACCUUACCCAAAAAAAAAAACUACAAAAGCAUUUGCCAAGGAUGUUUUGAUUAAUCAAGAACAAAAGUUGGGGGCUCAAAAAAGGUCAGAUACUGUCCUAGUCCUAACCAUAAACGAUGUCGACUAGGGAUCGGCAGAUGUUGCUUUUAGGAUUCCGCCGGCACCCUAUGAGAAAUCAAAUUUUUUGGGUUCUGAGGGAGUAUGAUUGCAAGGCUGAAAUUUAAAGGAAUUGAUGGAAGGGCACCACUAGGAGUGGAGCCUGCGCCUUAAUUUGACUCAACACAGGGAAACUUACUAGGUCCAGAAAUAGUAAGGAUUGACAAACUGAAAGCUCUUUCUUGAUUUUAUGUGUGGUGGUGCAUGGCCGUUCUUAGUUGGUGGAGCGAUUUGUCUGGUUAAUUCCGAUAACAAACGAGACCUCAGCCUGCUAACUAGCUAUAUGGAUGUACAUCUCCACGGCCAACUUCUUAGAGGGACUAUGGUCGCUUAAGUCAAGGAAGUUUGAGGCAAUAACAAGUCUGUGAUGCCUUUAGAUGUUCUGGGCCGCACGUGCACUACACUAAUGUAUUCAACGAGUCUAUAACCUUGGCCGAUAAGCCUAGGUAAUCUUUGAAACUUCAUCGUGAUGGGAUAGAUCAUUGCAAUUGUUGGUCUUCAAUGAGGAAUUCCUAGUAAGCACGAGUCAUUAGCUCGAGUUGACUAUGUCCCUGCCCUUUGUACACACCGCCCGUCGCUCCUACUGAUUGAAUGGUCGGGUGAAGUGUUUGGAUCGCAACGACGUGGGCGGUUUGCCACCGAUGACAUCGCAAGAAGUCUACUGAACCUUAUCAUUUAGAGGAAAGAGAAGUCGUAACAAGGUUUCCAUAGGUGAACCUGCGGAAG
rnacentral:rRNA from 1 species